AAAUGCCUACGGGAGGCAGCAGUGGGGGAUAUUGCACAAUGGGGGAAACCCUGAUGCAGCGACGCCGCGUGUGGGAAGACGGUCCUCUGGAUUGUAAACCACUGUCCCCAGGGACGAAGAUGACGGUACCUGGGGAGGAAGCUCCGGCUAACUACGUGCCAGAAGCCGCGGUAAUACGUAGGGAGCGAGCGUUGUCCGGAAUUACUGGGUGUAAAGGGAGCGUAGGCGGGGAUGCAAGGUGGGUGUCAAAACUACC
rnacentral:rRNA from 1 species